rnacentral:snoRNA from 1 species
UUGCAAACUCGAUCACUAGCUCUGCAUGAUGUUGCAGAA